GGGAGAAUGCGGGGAGACCGCGUUUAGAGGAUCAGUGGCGGCGGGCCCGCGCGGUGCCGGCGACUAGCAGCGAGAUGUCCUGGCCCCUUCCAGGGAGAAUGGAGAGAGCAAGGUGUAGCUGAUUAGCAAGUUAAUUAUUUCAGUACCCCAAGGGUUCAUGCGUGGUGGAGAUGGCCUUGGGAGAGCAACCUCCGGACCUCAGCAGUGUGAGGAUGACAACAGUACCCUGUGGUGCUGUCCCCACUCAGGUUGGCUGCCAUCCCUGCUGAUGGAGAGAGGCUGAAGUCUGUCUGAGAAGAUAGUGCAGGCAGCUACUUAGCUGGUACUAAUUGUAUUUGCAGAGUAGGGGGUUUCUCUCUGUAGCCCCGACUGUCCUGGAACUCACUCUGCAGACCAGGCUGUCCUCAAGCUCAGAGAUCUACCUGCCUCUGCCUCUGAAGUACUGGGAUUAAAGAUGCAGAGGCCUCCCAGAGAAGUGUGAAGGAAUGGGCCUUAACCAGGGUUGAAGAAAGAAAGUGAAGAAGGGGAGAGCCCAAGGAAAGGUGGGGACAGUUGGAACUUUUGUUUACACUGGUCUACUACUCAUGUAUCGUAUGCUAUAAUCUCCAAAUUCCACAUUUAUUGUAGCUGUCUGCAGUGUGUAUGCCCCGGCCGCAUGCUGCUUGGCUAAAAAAGUGUUAAAUAAAACUGUAAGAAACGCUA
rnacentral:lncRNA from 1 species